AUGCAUGGGCGGAAGUAUUCCAGGAGCAGCAGCAGGGCGGAAGGUGUGUGGGCGAGUGGGCGAGUGGGCGAGUGGGCGAGUGGGCGAGUGGGCGAGUGGGCGAGUGGGCGAGUGUUUGUGUGUGUGUUUGUGCUGCCGCUCCUAAUUUUCUAUUACACACUGAUCUUAUUUGAUCUCCCUGUGUAUUGCAGUCUGUGCCAGGGGAGAGAUGAUAAAAAGCACGUCACGCUAAGCCUCUGUGGCUGUGUGCGCUGAGCUCAGGUCUUCAGGCUGCAACUCUUGAUAUGAUGAAUUGAUCAGAUAUACUAAACCAGCGGUGUAGGGUUUUUGCCCUUCUACGCCUGGUCUGUGAGUAUAUAAGCGAUUCUGAUCUGG